AGAGUUUGAUCAUGGCUCAGGACGAACGCUGGCGGCGCGCCUAACACAUGCAAGUCGAGCGAGAACCAGGGCUUCGGCCCUGGGGACAGCGGCGAACGGGUGAGUAACACGUGGAUAACCUGCCCUCGGCACCGGAAUAGCCCGAGGAAACUCGGAUUAAUGCCGGAUAGCCCCACAUCCCUGCGGGGAACGUGGGAAAAGGUAGCUUCGGCCUCUGGCCGGGGAUGGGUCCGCGGUGGAUUAGCUUGUUGGCGGGGUAACGGCCCACCAAGGCGACGAUCCAUAGCUGGUCUGAGAGGAUGAUCAGCCACACUGGGACUGAGACACGGCCCAGACUCCUACGGGAGGCAGCAGUGGGGAAUCUUGCGCAAUGGGCGAAAGCCUGACGCAGCGACGCCGCGUGCGGGAAGAAGGCCUUCGGGUUGUAAACCGCUUUCAGGAGGGACGAAGCCACUCGGGUUAAUAGCCCAGAGGGUGACGGUACCUCCAGAAGAAGCCCCGGCUAACUACGUGCCAGCAGCCGCGGUAAUACGUAGGGGGCUAGCGUUGUCCGGAUUUAUUGGGCGUAAAGAGCGUGUAGGCGGUCAGGUAGGUCGGUUGUGAAAACUGGAGGCUCAACCUUCAGAGGUCGACCGAAACCCCCUGGCUAGAGUCCGGGAGAGGAGAGUGGAAUUCCUGGUGUAGCGGUGAAAUGCGCAGAUAUCAGGAAGAACACCCGUGGCGAAAGCGGCUCUCUGGAACGGUACUGACGCUGAGACGCGAAAGCGUGGGGAGCGAACAGGAUUAGAUACCCUGGUAGUCCACGCCGUAAACGAUGGGCGCUAGGUGUGGGAGGUGUCGACUCCUUCCGUGCCGAAGCUAACGCAUUAAGCGCCCGCCUGGGGAGUACGGCCGCAAGGCUAAAACUCAAAUGAAUUGACGG
rnacentral:rRNA from 1 species